rnacentral:sRNA from 1 species
AAAUUAGGGUAUGAAGGGAAUCUGUCAUCCCAUUGAUCGCCAGGGCUGAUUCAUUCGGCUGAUGUGGCUGGUUAGGCGGGUGUCCCCUUUCUCCCUCACCGCU